UUUCCGUAGGUGAACCUGCGGAAGGAUCAUUACCGAGUGAGGGCCCUCUGGGUCCAACCUCCCACCCGCGUUUAUCGUACCUUGUUGCUUCGGCGGGCCCGCCUCACGGCCGCCGGGGGGCACCCGCCCCCGGGCCCGCGCCCGCCGAAGACACCAUUGAACGCUGUCUGAAGAUUGCAGUCUGAGCAUCUUAGCUAAAUCAGUUAAAACUUUCAACAACGGAUCUCUUGGUUCCG
rnacentral:misc_RNA from 1 species